CUCUUAUCAAGAGUGGCAGAGGGACUGGCCCGAUGACGCCCAGCAACCGUUCCGAAUGGAAUUGGUGCUAAAUCCUGCAAAACAAGCAAUUGUUUUGGAAGAUAAGAG
rnacentral:ncRNA from 2 species